GAUGAAGAACGUAGCGAAAUGCGAUACGUAAUGUGAAUUGCAGAAUUCAGUGAAUCAUCGAGUCUUUGAACGCACAUUGUGCCCCCUGGUAUUCCGGGGGGCAUGCCUGUCCGAGCGUCAUUGCUGCCCUCAAGCACGGCUUGUGUGUUGGGCCUCCGUCCUCCUCCCGGGGGACGGGCCCGAAAGGCAGCGGCGGCACCGCGUCCGGUCCUCGAGCGUAUGGGGCUUCGUCACCCGCUCUUGUAUGCCCGGCCGGCGCUUGCCGACACAUCAAUCUUUUUUCCAGGUUGACCUCGGAUCAGGUAGGGAUACCCGCUGAACUUAAGCAUAUCAAUAAGCGGAGGA
rnacentral:misc_RNA from 1 species